ensembl:lncRNA MYHAS myosin heavy chain gene cluster antisense RNA
AUGCUCCACGAGGAAUUCUUUGCUUUGAGGCCAUGCACAGAGGUGGGUUCACUAUGAAGCUUGUGAAAUAAGCUUCAGGGCCCGCAUUUGCAUGGGCCACAGAGAGUCUGGGAGCUGCAGAAGGUUCAAGGGAAGAGGAGCCAUCACAAGCAGAAUAUUCUAGAAGGCAUUUCUGGCAAAUGGCCCAAAGAGGCCUCAGGAGAAAAGAACUUGAGUCUUCAAGGAUGCAAUGAGAAGGCACCAUCUGUGAGGAACAGGCCUCCGACAGACACCGAAUUUGCUGGCACUUUGAUCUUGGACUUCCCAGCCUCCAAAAUUAUCCAUAAUGGAUUCCUGGGACAUUUUCAGAUCUCCUUCCAGCUUCCUCUUCGCCCUUUCCAAGUCCGCCCGCAGUUUCUUCUCCUGCUCUAAGGAACCCUCAAGCUGAGAAGACACACAGAAGACCCAGAAGUCCAGCUUUGAAGAAAACCUGGAGAAAGAGAGAGUCACAAAUCAUCUCCAUACUGCAGGAGAUGCAGAAAUGGCAGAAGAUCAAUUUCAGCGUGUUUGGACCAGCAGAUUCCAGGUGAUGGAUAGGCAGCUUCAUUUUAAUAGUCUGUUGGUACAGGGUGACCUGUAGCCUUUCCAGAAGAGGUAAAAUGAAUCCUCCGGUUGUCACCCCCUCCUUCCUCGCUCCAAUUCCAUCAUUAAUCCCCGUUUGAGGAUUUGAGUGCUGCCGAGGACUGACAGACUCCAUGAGGUUCAGCUGCUGCCUGGUACAUGUGGUCACCUGCAGCUUCUUCAGCCCUACAUAUAUUUUGUGCUGUUUUAGACUGCUCUUUCUUCCAUUAAAUGAGAGAUUAGAUCUGAAUGGCCACGUGAUCUUCUGAGUCCCAUCUGUAAGAAUCUGCAUUUCCACGGAAUUGGGGGAGCAAACGUUCUCAAAACAUUCUUAAAUGCAAACCCGCAGGCACAGCAUGUGUCUGUCAACUCCAAGAGCAUUUGGAUGUUCGAAGGGAGAGGAUGUUUGACAUCUAACCCGUCGUGGAAAGAGGAGCCUCUUCCCACAGCUAUUUGAGCAAGGGCCCAAGACGAUGGAGAGGCGGCAAAGCUGCUGGGAGGGCCUGUUCGCAGGCAGGAAUGCACUGGCUGUGCCUCGCCCCGCCAUGUCCUUCCACAGGUCCUUAAAUGAUAACAGAAGUUUCCCAAACCAUCCUAUGGAUGAAAAUCUGUGACCUCAAGGGACUGAAGUCAUACUAAUGAAAAACCUAAGAAGCUGAAGAAUGUCUCCCCCUAUUGGAUGAUUUAGCAAAUGUACAGCAUGAAUUCCUCAUCGAAUCUCAUCAAAAGUCAAAUUCUUAUGGCAGUAGGCCAGUAUUUCUCAAAAUGGGGCCAAAGAUACAUUCUACAAGGUCCAAGAAGUUUCCAUAAGACUUACAUAUUUUUGUUUUCAUUUGUAAUUAAAAACAUUAAUAUCCAUA